UAAACGACUCUCGGCAACGGAUAUCUCGGCUCUCGCAUCGAUGAAGAACGUAGCGAAAUGCGAUACUUGGUGUGAAUUGCAGAAUCCCGUGAACCAUCGAGUCUUUGAACGCAAGUUGCGCCCGACGCCUUCGGGCUGAGGGCACGCCUGCCUGGGCGUCACGCA
rnacentral:rRNA from 1 species